rnacentral:rRNA from 1 species
GUCUGCCGGCCGUGAGGCGAGUCAGAAACCGUUGAUGUAGGCGAAGGACAUGCGAAAGGUCCGGCGUAGAGGGUAAGACCCCCGUAGCCGAAACAUUGACGGCUUGCUUGAGAGACACCCAAGUAGCACGGGGCCCGAGAAAUCCCGUGUGAAUCUGGCGGGACCACCCGUUAAGCCUAAAUAUUCCCUGGUGACCGAUAGCGGAUAGUACCGUGAGGGAAUGGUGAAAAGUACCGCGGGAGCGGAGUGAAAUAGUACCUGAAACCGUGUGCCUACAAGCCGUGGGAGCGUCGCUGUAUGUGCUUGCACAUGCAGUCGUGACUGCGUGCCUUUUGAAGAAUGAGCCUGCGAGUUUGCGGUGUGUUGCGAGGUUAACCCGUGUGGGGAAGCCGUAGCGAAAGCGAGUCCGAACAGGGCGGUUUUAGUAGCACGCUCAAGACCCGAAGCGGAGUGAUCUAGCCAUGGGCAGGUUGAAGCGGAGGUAAGACUUCGUGGAGGACCGAACCCACCAGGGUUGAAAACCUGGGGGAUGACCUGUGGUUAGGGGUGAAAGGCCAAUCAAACUCCGUGAUAGCUGGUUCUCCCCGAAAUGCAUUUAGGUGCAGCGUAAUAG